GGAAUGGCCCUGUCAUCCAGAGCAUCCAUCCCAGGGGAUGGGAGAUUUGGGGUGGGAAUGGCCCUGUCAUCCAGAGCAUCCAUCCCAGGGGAUGGGAGAUUUGGGGUGGGAAUGGCCCUGUCAUCCAGAGCAUCCAUCCCAGGGGAUGGGAGAUUUGGGGUGGGGAUGGCCAUACAGGACACAGAGUCCCCAUUCCAAGGGUUAGGGAUUUGGGAUGGGAAUGGUCACACAAAACACGGAGUCCCUAUUCCAAGGAAUGGGGAUUUGGGGUGGGAAUGGUCCUGUGAUCCAGAACAUCCAUCUCUUGGGAUUUGGGGUUUGGGGUGGGAAUGGUCCUGUCAUCCAGAAUAUCCAUCCCGAGGGAUGGGGGGUUUGGGGUGGGAAUGGGCCUGUCAUCCAGGACAUCCAUCCUGAUGAAUGGGGGAUUUGGGAAGUUUUGGGAUGGGAAUGGUCACACAGGAUACAGAGCCCCCAUUACAAGGAAUGGGGAUUUGGGAUGGGAAUGGUCCUGUCAUCCAGAGCACCCAUCCCUCAGGAUUUGGGGUUUGGGGUGGGAAUAGUCCUGUCAUCCAGAACACCCAUCCCUCAGGAUUUGGGGUUUGGAGUGGGAAUAGUCCUGUCAUCCAGAACACCCAUCCCUCAGGAUUUGGGGUUUGGGGUGGGAAUAGUCCUGUCAUCCAGAACACCCAUCCCUCAGGAUUUGGGGUUUGGGGUGGGAAUAGUCCUGUCAUCCAGAACACCCAUCCCUCAGGAUGGGGGGUUUUGGGGUGGGAAUGGUCACACAGGACGGAGAGCCCCCAUUCCAAGGGAUGGGAGAUUUGGGGUGGGAAUGGUCCUGUCAUCCAGAGCACCCAUCCCUCGGGAUGGGGGUUUUUGGGGUGGGAACGUCCCUGUCACACGGGACACAGAGCCCCUGUCCCAGGGGCCAGAGAGGUUUUGGGGUGCCGUGAGCGCUUUGGCAGAAGAGCAGGGGAAGCCGCUGCCAAGCAGCUGCAAUUCCCGCCGGGAGCAGGGAUGCUGGGCGAGGUGAGGAAGAGGAGGGAGGUGCUGGGGGGCUCCCACGGCGGUGUCUGCACCCGAGCCGUGACACAAAUGCGGCCGGACAGACAUACAGAGCACGUAAACAGGCACAUGGGGAGAGCAUGUGCUGCUCCGUGCCGCUGGUGCAGAGCGAGCCCCGAGCGAAAAAGGCACACGCACACACGGCCGCACACACGCAGCAUCCCCACGGGGGAUCCUCCCUGCCUGGCCUGCAUUUCCUGGAGUGCUCAGGAGGAAUAAAAACAAAACAAAACAAAACAAAACAAACAAAAAAAAAAAAAACCACAACACAAAAAAAAAAAAAAAAGAGAGAGAGAGGAGCUGGAGAGGUGAACGCCACGGAACGGUGAUGGGAAUGGCUUUGUACACGGCGCUAAAAAUAGUCCUUGCGAUAAAGUCGAUGGUGCGGGGGGAGGAGGAGGUGCCGGCAGCGCACGGAUGCCGGCGAGGGAAGCCAGGGGUUGGGAAGCCCUGGAUGGAGCAGAAGUGCCAUAAUUAGAGCUGGUAAUUAGCCCCAAGCAGCACUGAGAGAAGUGAAGGGGCUGGUUGCGCCCUCUCCUCUUGGGAUGGAGGCUUUGCCAGCCGAGAAAAUGAGAAGCGAGCAGCUGGAAUUGGGGUCCUUUGAAGGGAGACGGGGAUUUUGGGGUGUUUAGGGCGAGGAAGGCUCUCUGCAGCUCUGAGGGACACGAGGAAGAGCCAAAGCCUGUGGAAGGAGCCCUGAUGGGGAAGAGAGAGGAUCUGUGGGGAGCCAGGUGCUGGAAAGAAUUUCGGCUCAGGAGUGGGUGUGGGGUGCAGGGAUGGGUCGGGACGGAAAAGCAAAGGAUGUGUGACUUUGGAGAUGGUCCUUUCACCCCCGGCAGGUCCCACACACCAAACCCCAGCUGUGCCAGCCCUGUCCUGAUCCAGCUGGGAUCCCCAGCUCCAGCCCGAGCUGGUGUGGAGAGGAGAAAAAGCUGGAUUUUCCGGAGGUUUUUUUAUUAAACCCCGUGUCCCUGUUGCCCCCUGGCACAGCGAGGAAAGGUCCCUGCGUGCCGUGGGAACAACGUCCUGCCAUGCUCGAUGCUGCUGCUGCUGCCCCACACCGGGAAUUUGAGGCAGGAUGGAGCUGACACAACUGGGCUCAGUGCCCGUCUCAUUGCCCAAGGGAGGAGGAGGAGGAGGAGGAGGAGGAGGAGGAGGAGGGGGACACGAUGCCAGCCAGCACAUGGGUGCCACUCAGCCUGUCCCCUCCGCCCACGCUGCUGCUGAUGGACAGAGCCCCAAAAUCUCACCUCGAGGGAUCCAUGAGCAGCUCCAGAGGCAGGAGCAACCCCCUCCGUGUGGGGAAACUGAGGCACAGUGGCAGCAGGAGGGGUUGGGAGGGUUAAAUUCCCUGAUUUGCAGUGAUGAUUUGCAGUGAUCUCUUCGAGCAGUUCUCUCCGCAUCCUUCACCUGCAUCCCGGAGGAUGCUGAGGCACCAAACACCACCCCUGAGACCAGGCACAGUCUCAAAAAUGGGAAGUGUGGUGCCACUUGGAGGAAAAAAACAAAAAUCUAAAUAACCUAAGCAACUUUUGGGUGAGUUUUCCCCCCUUUUUUGGCAGCUGGCAGGGGACAGGAGGGGACACGGUGGGGGACAGGAGCAGACCCCUCCCUGCUGUCUCCCAUCACGUGAAUAUUCCGGGUAUUUCUCACCAUUCCCAAAGCCCUUUCUUGCAGGCUUUGCCUGUAAAUGACUUUAAUCUUCAUAAGCCCAAAAAGGAAAGCAGCUUAUCC
rnacentral:lncRNA from 1 species